rnacentral:rRNA from 1 species
UGGGGAAUAUUGCACAAUGGACGAAAGUCUGAUGCAGCGACGCCGCGUGGGGGAUGAAGGUUUUCGGAUUGUAAACCCCUGUUAAGUGGGAAAAAAGACUCGUAUUUAAAAGAUGCGAGGGAUGAUGGUACCACUAAAGAAAGCUCCGGCAAACUUCGUGCCAGCAGCCGCGGUAAUACGAAGGGAGCAAGCGUUAUUCGGAAUAACUGGGCGUAAAGAGCGCAAUGGCGGUUACUUAAGUCGGAUGUUAAAUUUCCUCGCCUAACGAGGAAUCGGCGUCUGAAACUGGGUGGCUAGAGUGCAAAAGAGAGGGGUGGAAUUCCUGGAGUAGCGGUAAAAUGCGUAGAUCUCAGGAGGAACACCGAUGGCGAAGGCAGCCCCUUGGGUUGCAACUGACGCUUAAGCGCGAAAGCGUGGGGAGCAAACAGG